UAUCAAGCAAUGGACAGAUAUUAUAAUUAUCUGAUGUUGAACCUGUCAUUAUGCAGAUAAAUUAUAAGAUCUCUGCUUGUUGGAUCCCAGACAUACGAGGAAUUCCCAUAAGGAGGACCAAACACAAAACUUUAGCAUUAUCACAACUAAUGUAGGCUGUUAAAUCAAAAUCUUCAUACCUUAAAAUGAAAAAACAAAAUAUACAAUAGAUAGGAGAUGAA
rnacentral:misc_RNA from 1 species